AUGAUGUAUGGGCAUGGGAUCGAGGGGUUGGGCUUCUUCCACCUCGAGGUCCCGGACGCCCCUCCUCCGUCGCCCUCCCUUCAGGCGAUUAUCACGGUCGUUGAUGGGGUGGCGUCCCCAGAGAUGAUCGAGGCUGAGCUCAACCACCUCUACCGCCACCAGUGGGACUGGGUGGUCACCCCCACAGCCGGCCACAUCUUCUCCGUCGUCUUCCCCGACUCCGUCAGCUUCGGCUACGCGACGCGUAGUGGCCGGAUCACUCUCGCGCUCAACCAGCUGGUUGUCGAGAUAUCCGAGCCAGUACUCGACGCUCAGGCCGUGGCUGUCCUCGACACCGCCUGGAUCCUCAUCUCCGGUCUCCCCGAUAUUGCACGGUCCGAGCUCGUCAUCCGCCAGAUGUCUCGCCUCUUGGGCAAGGUGGUGGUGGUCAACGAGCUCUCAUUGCAAAAGGAGGAGGUGCGGGUCAAGGUCAAGUGCCUCGACUCCUCCAAGCUGCGCACUUCGGUCCGGGUCUUCUUCAACGACCAGGGCUUCGACCUCAGGAUCGCCCCCGAGCCUCCCAACCACGUUGGGCGUCCCCGCUUCCUCGACGUCGGCCCCCCUGGUGACAACCCGGGGGCCGGCGGAGACUACCACGGCCGCCACCGCUCUCGUUCUCACCGCUCGGAUGAGGAGGGGGCGUCCGAGGACUCCCGCUCCCCAUCCCCCUCGCCCCCCCUCCGUCUGCGGGGGGCAAGGGCCGCCAGGCCGCCUCUCGCCCCCCGGUGGAUGGCCCGCCGAUCUCUGACGUGUCGCCAUCCGAGGGGAGCGACAUCUCCAGUGUGGGCCUGGUGGUCUGCCCGGCCUCCUCCCGCGCUCCCCCACCUCGUCCCCGCCACCUGUGCUGGCCCCGGUCGGCCUGCUCGGCGGCCUGCUCUCCGACUCUUCGGCGGCGCCCGCGGGUGGGGGGACGCCUCCUGUGGUUGUCCCCCCCACUCCGGCUUCGCCUCCCCCCGUCGCCGUCUCCUCCCCGCAGCCUGA
rnacentral:rRNA from 1 species